rnacentral:rRNA from 1 species
CCCCAGCGCCACAAGUGCCAUUCACGUUUAUUGGGCCUAAAGCGUCCGUAGCAGGUUCUACACAUUCCUUGUGAAAUUGCCAAGCUCAACUUGGCAGAGUGCAGGGGGCACGGUAGGACUUGAGACCGGGAAGGGUUAGAGGUAUUCCUGAGGGAGCGGUAAAAUGCUAUAAUCUCAGGAGGACCACCUGUGGCGAAGGCGUCUAACUAGAACGGAUCUGACUGUGAGGGACGAAAGCUAGGGGAGCAAAACG